rnacentral:rRNA from 1 species
AAUCUUCCACAAUGGGCGAAAGCCUGAUGGAGCAACGCCGCGUGAGUGAAGAAGGUUUNCGGAUCNUNAAACUCUGUUGUAAGGGNCGAACAAGUACAGUAGUAACUGGCUGUACCUUGACGGUACCUUAUUAGAAAGCCACGGCUAACUACGUUGCAGCAGCCGCGGUAAUACGUAGGCGGCAAGCGUUGUCCGGAAUUAUUGGGCGUAAAGCGCGCGCAGGCGGUACUUUAAGUCUGAUAUGAAAGCCAACAGCUAAACCGUGGAGGGUCAUUGGAAACUGGGGGACUUGAGUGCAGAAGAGGAAAGUGGAAUUCCAAGUGCAGCGGUGAAAUGCGUAGAGAUUUGGAGGAACACCAGUGGCGAAGGCGACUUUCUGGUCUGUAACUGACGCUGAGGCGCGAAAGCGUGGGGAGCAAACA